rfam:Picea glauca, whole genome shotgun sequence.
UUAAAGGUGUUUCUCAACACCACCAUUCCACUCAAUUAACAUGAG